UUUAAUUUCAAUCGUCGCAAACCAGACGAAACACUAUUUUGAAACUAGAACAUAGAAUAUUAUUCCGAUGGAGUCUCCAAGUGAGGGUUUGUCUCGCAAAUGCAAGAUAUUUGACCGCCAAUACACUAUUAAAUGGUGUGAUGAGCCUCCUUAUAAAAGACGUCGCCUCGACGAAGCUAAUGAAGUGUAUAUCUACCGUCGGGAACAGAUCCAAUCGGAUUUAUGCAACGGCCUCACUUGGGAAACUAAAGUACAAGUGCUUGAUCCACCAGCUCAAAAAAAAGGAUUACUUUCGAAUUUAGUUAAAGGAGUUAAACACUUGUAUUCUAUGUUAUUCAAACGUUAAAUUAUUUAAACACAGAAGUUCUAGAAACUUCAUGAUUUUGGAUAAAUGUUUAAAUUUUCUAUUUUAUAAAAUUCGUAAGAUGAAAAAUUUAUGUUGAGUGAUAAAAUAGGAUAAUUAAAGGCGGAUAUUAAAAAUUAGAUUUAGCAUUGCUUUAUAGAUUUUGCUCAAAAAAAGGAUUUAUUUUUGACUUGCUUUUCUAAUUUUAAUGAUCAAGUGAGGAUUGUUUUUCCUGAAGACGGGACUAUUAAGUAAUUACAUGCACACACUAACACACACGCGCACACACACACAGAGAGAGGCGCACGUGUAUGCGAUGGCAACUAAAUUACGGAAGCGUUUUGCGCUAUGUGGCGCCUCCCAAGGAUUUCAUUUGGCUGGCAAGUCACGUGAUGUGCAACAGCAGCAGUGCGCUGUUAACUUGUGGGUUGUGUUACGGUAAACGCUCUCCUCCGGGUUCCCUUUGGCUCGCGCGGAGGUCAGGGGUCAGGGGUGAGGGGUCAAACGCCGACCCGACACAAUGAUAAACUGCGUGCCGCAAUAUGAGCCAGCUAGCCGCAAAACUUUUGGCCAAGAACAACGACGACGAGUGCUUAGCGGCCAACAGAGAAAGUCCAGCCUGCCGCUAAUUUAUGUCCUCUUGGCCCUCUCGCAAGAUGGAUCCACAUCCAGACUGUUGGCCCAUGGCCCCUUGGCCAGUGCAGUUGGCCGGCUUUCGCUCUCUCUUUCCUUUCUCCCGAGUGUUUAACAUGCGCCGACUGGCGCUCUUUCUGGCUUUUAUACCUCCUCCAUUCCCACUUGCCACUUGGAGUUCCCUUUUCGGUUCGGUUGCGACAUGGUCAACUGGCACAUGGCAUUCCCAGCGGCACGCUCCGGGGGCAUCAAUAUUCCCGACGCUGGACGCGCAUGGCCACCUCCGGAGGGGAAGGCGGUCGCAGGACCACCGGAGAUCCCAAGACACGCUGCUGCACUGCGCGAAAAAAAGUAUUGUAAAGUUAUAUGUCCAAGGAAGCAAGCCAUCGCAUUAAAGUAUAUACGAAACAUGUGGAAACUAUAAAGAUA